rnacentral:misc_RNA from 1 species
CCAAACUUGGUCAUUUAGAGGAAGUAAAAGUCGUAACAAGGUCUCCGUUGGUGAACCAGCGGAGGGAUCAUUACCGAGUUUACAACUCCCAAACCCCCAGUGUGAACCUUACCAUCAUGUUGCCUCGGCGGGACCGCCCCGGGAGCGUCGCAGCCCCGGACCCAAGGCGCCCGCCGGAGGACCAUCCUACAAACCCUCUCGCACGUCCGCCCCGGCGGACCUGUCAACGGACAUCUGAGCCUUCUCGGCGCCCCCCAGGGGGCGUUCCGAAAACGAAUCAAAACUUUCAACAACGGAUCUCUUGGUUCUGGCAUCGAUGAAGAACGCAGC